rnacentral:tRNA from 1 species
UAGGUUGAAGCCAGUUGUUUAGGGUAUUUAGCUGUUAACUAAAAGUUCAUGGGUUUGUAUCCCAUCAGCCUAG